UUUUUGACAGUUUCCCCGCUCCUGGUGCGACUGAAGGAUUGCAGGCACGUCUUCCGGUAGUAUGCCAUCUGCUUUUCCAAUUCUUCCUUCUGGUCGUCCUUGAGGUCUGCUUCUGUCACCUCGAUGACGUUGUCUUCCGAGACUUCGGCAGCUUUUGACAUAGUGGCAGUUGUAUUGGUCCCACUGGGCAUGCCAAAAGUGUGUUGGCGCUAGAAAUCGUCUGAUC
rnacentral:lncRNA from 1 species